UACAGAGGGUGCAAGCGUUGUUCGGAAUUAUUGGGCGUAAAGGGCGCGUAGGCGGUGCCACAAGUCACCUGUGAAAUCCCUCGGCUUAACCGGGGAACUGCGUCCGAUACUGGAUGACUUGAGUUCGGGAGAGGGAUGCGGAAUUCCAGGUGUAGCGGUGAAAUGCGUAGAUAUCUGGAGGAACACCGGUGGCGAAGGCGGCAUCCUGGACCGACACUGACGCUGAGGAGCGAAAGCCAGGGGAGCAAACGGG
rnacentral:rRNA from 1 species